AGUUUGUCUUAGACUAAGAAUUAUGGGUAAGAAUGAAAGUCAGGCUGGGUUUGUCUGCUGGGUAGGAACAUGUUAAAGUGGAGGUUCUUGUUUUUACUGAAAAAGGAUAUUUUGUGUGCAGUGAUCUAGUUAUUGAAAAAAAGAAAUAUUUAUUUUAAAGUAAAUAAACAUAUGUUUUUGUAAUUCUGGUGAAAAUGGUUCUGUGAAUUUCAGUAUUUUUAGGGUGCACCAGAAUUCGUCCAACUAUACAGGGUAUCUGACAUUAGUUAGGGAAAAGUAAAACCGUAGGUCGUGAUGGCCAACUGACACCAUAAAUAAUGGUUGGUCACAGAAAAGAUGACCUUUACAUCGUCUUCCUCUUAGAAGGGUACUUCACUUACCGGUACUUUUUUUUUUUUUUUUUAAAA